GUGUCACUAUGUAAUCACUAUUGAGUCAAUAAGAAAGAUAACAUAAUCAGGGUAUCCUGAUCCAUUAAUGUUCCCUAUGAUUGUGGGUGUAUGCACAAGUUUACUGUAAUAAAAUUUAGUUCUCGUUUGAUAAAUCUCUGAAAUAAUUCUUGAUUUUCCCCACUAUUUUCAGGCAGAAAAACAUCAUUUUGCCUAAUUUAAAUCAAUGCUGAAAGUGCCACAGAUGGCUCCAGAAUGCACCACAGAGCAUCUAAGUUUCAAAAAAAAUUUGGGGGAGGACCCCUAAACCCCCCUCAAUGGGAGGAGGACACCUACGGCGUUUGUCAAAACCAGGAAUUUAGAAAUCAUUACUCUUUGGCUUCAUUGAAUGUUGGCAUGUCUGCAACAUAGAUAUUUGUUGUAUGCACGAGGUCUAUAUACAUGGAGUUCAGCAACUAUAUUUAAAAUACAGUGUUGUUAUCUGAUGGGUGGCAGACCGUUACCUUCAUGUUAAUUACAAUUGUAAGAGCGGAAGGCAUGAAAUAGUAUUUGCUAUCCCGUAGAGCUUACAAUGACUAUGUCCGUGAUGUGUUGGAUCGGCUGCUACAGCACUCAUUCACACCAGAUGUCGUGUUUGUCAACAGUGGUGUGUGGGACCUGACAAGCAAAGGAUAUUCGAGAUGUACAAAGGCAAGAUCCACAAGUUCUUCUCCCGUGGUGCAACAUUGGGCAGCCCCGUACCGACCGACAUCCUGUUCGUGUUUGAGGUUCUAUCGGAGGCGCUGGCAUAUAUGCAGAUUGCCGACUCGUACGGCUGUGACAUGCAUACAUACUACCUCCGGCGUGACGAGGAGGAGGCUCUUCUGCCGUGAAGAAGACAACACGACUCAUGGUUGCGAGAAUGUUAAAUGGCGUGGCUGUUGUUGUUUCGGUGAAUUUUAAACAUAAAAUCUAAGAAUUAAACCAAUUUUCACUUGGUCAUAUUAUUGCUAUGUUUGAGGUGGGCGUGUAUAAUAAUACACACAAUCGAUAUAUAAUAUACUAUUUAAAUGUAACACGAAUGCUAUGUAAAUAAAUUGUUGGUGUAUUAUUAAAACAUG